rnacentral:rRNA from 1 species
AUUGAACGCUGGCGGCAGGCCUAACACAUGCAAGUCGAGCGGAUGAAGGGAGCUUGCUCCUGGAUUCAGCGGCGGACGGGUGAGUAAUGCCUAGGAAUCUGCCUUGUAGUGGGGGAUAACGUCCGGAAACGGGCGCUAAUACCGCAUACGUCCUGAGGGAGAAAGUGGGGGAUCUUCGGACCUCACGCUAUCUGAUGAGCCUAGGUCGGAUUAGCUAGUUGGUGGGGUAAAGGCCUACCAAGGCGACGAUCCGUAACUGGUCUGAGAGGAUGAUCAGUCACACUGGAACUGAGACACGGUCCAGACUCCUACGGGAGGCAGCAGUGGGGAAUAUUGGACAAUGGGCGAAAGCCUGAUCCAGCCAUGCCGCGUGUGUGAAGAAGGUCUUCGGAUUGUAAAGCACUUUAAGUUGGGAGGAAGGGCAGUAAGUUAAUACCUUGCUGUUUUGACGUUACCAACAGAAUAAGCACCGGCUAACUUCGUG